GCCUAGGAGGCAGCAGUGGGGAAUUUUGGACAAUGGGGGCAACCCUGAUCCAGCCAUUCCGCGUGAGUGAAGAAGGCCUUCGGGUUGUAAAGCUCUUUCGGCAGGAACGAAACGGCUCGCUCUAACAUAGCGGGCUACUGACGGUACCUGAAGAAGAAGCACCGGCUAACUACGUGCCAGCAGCCGCGGUACUACGUAGGGUGCGAGCGUUAAUCGGAAUUACUGGGCGUAAAGCGUGCGCAGGCGGCUUUUUAAGCCAGAUGUGAAAUCCCCGGGCUUAACCUGGGAACUGCAUUUGGAACUGGAAGGCUAGAGUGCGGCAGAGGGGGGUAGAAUUCCACGUGUAGCAGUGAAAUGCGUAGAGAUGUGGAGGAAUACCGAUGGCGAAGGCAGCCCCCUGGGUCGACACUGACGCUCAUGCACGAAAGCGUGGGGAGCAAACAGGAUUAGAUACCCCAGUAGUCC
rnacentral:rRNA from 1 species